rfam:Tatumella morbirosei strain LMG 23360 Contig3, whole genome shotgun sequence.
UGUUACUGACCCUGGCCGGCAGGCCACUGCACACGAAACAGAGAGAGCUGUAUCAGCCCUGUUUCAUGUGCAGAGCAACAGAUGUCAUCUAAGAGCUGGAAACGCAUGAACCCCAUCCUGAUUAAUAAGCUCCAGAGGAAACUGGGCUAUACUUUCACUC